GAUGAACGCUGGCGGCGUGCCUAAUACAUGCAAGUAGAACGCUGAAGGAAGGAGCUUGCUCUUUCCGGAUGAGUUGCGAACGGGUGAGUAACGCGUAGGUAACCUGCCUGGUAGCGGGGGAUAACUAUUGGAAACGAUAGCUAAUACCGCAUAACAGUAGAUGUUGCAUGACGACUAGUUGAAAGGGGCAAUUGCUCCACUACCAGAUGGACCUGCGUUGUAUUAGCUAGUUGGUGAGGUAACGGCUCACCAAGGCGAGGAUACAUAGCCGAACUGAGAGGGUGAUCGGCCACACUGGGACGGAGACACGGCCCAGACUCCUACGGGAGGCAGCAGUAGGGAAACUUCGGCCAUGGACGGAAGUCUGACCGAGCAACGCCGAGUGCGUGAAGAAGGUUGUCGGAUCGUAAAGCUCUGUUGUAAGAGAAGAAAGAGUGUGAGAGUGGAAAGUUCACACUGUGACGGUAUCUUACCAGAAAGGGACGGCUAACUACGUG
rnacentral:rRNA from 1 species